AAAAACAUGGCCUUUUGAUUUUUAUUUAAGGUCUAGCCUGCCCAAUGAAUAUUUGAAUGGCCGCGGUAUUUUAACCGUGCUAAGGUAGCAUAAUCAUUUGUCUUUUAAUUGAGGGCUUGUAUGAAUGGUUGGACGAGAUAUUAACUUUCUUUAAAUCAUUAAUUUAAUUUAACUUUUUAGUUAAAAGGCUAAAAUUUUAUAAUGGGACGAGAAGACCCUAUAGAUCUUGACUUCUUUUUUUGUUAAUUAAUGUAGAUGUAAAUUUAUUUUAACAAAAAACGAAGUUUGGUUGGGGUGACAGCAGAAUUUUAUUAACUUCUGUUUAUAUUAAUUCAUUAAUUUAUGAUUUAUGAUCCAGUUUUAUUGAUUAAAAGAUUAAGUUACCUUAGGGAUAACAGCGUAAUUUCUUUGGAUAGUUCAUAUUGAUAAAGAAGUUUGCGACCUCGAUGUUGGAUUAAAAUUAGUGGUGGGUGCAGUAGCUUACUUACUAGGUCUGUUCGACCUUUAAAUUUUUACAUGAUCUGAGUU
rnacentral:rRNA from 1 species